GCUUGUCUCAAAGAUUAAGCCAUGCAUGUCUAAGUAUAAACUGCUUAUACUGUGAAACUGCGAAUGGCUCAUUAAAUCAGUUAUAGUUUAUUUGAUGGUACCUACUACUCGGAUAACCGUAGUAAUUCUAGAGCUAAUACGUGCGCACAACCCGACUUCUGGAAGGGUCGUAUUUAUUAGAUAAAAGGCCAGCCGGGCUUUGCCCGACCUGCGGUGAUUCAUAAUAACUCGCGGAUCGGUUUACCGAUGCAUCAUUCAAGUUUCUGCCCUAUCAGCUUUGGAUGGUAGGGUAUUGGCCUACCAUGGCUUUAACGGGUAACGGAGAAUUAGGGUUCGAUUCCGGAGAGGGAGCCUGAGAAAUGGCUACCACAUCCAAGGAAGGCAGCAGG
rnacentral:rRNA from 1 species